rnacentral:rRNA from 1 species
AUUGAACGCUGGCGGCAGGCCUAACACAUGCAAGUCGAGCGGAUGAGUGGAGCUUGCUCCAUGAUUCAGCGGCGGACGGGUGAGUAAUGCCUAGGAAUCUGCCUGGUAGUGGGGGACAACGUUUCGAAAGGAACGCUAAUACCGCAUACGUCCUACGGGAGAAAGUGGGGGAUCUUCGGACCUCACGCUAUCAGAUGAGCCUAGGUCGGAUUAGCUAGUUGGUGAGGUAAAGGCUCACCAAGGCGACGAUCCGUAACUGGUCUGAGAGGAUGAUCAGUCACACUGGAACGGAGACACGGUCCAGACUCCUACGGGAGGCAGCAGUGGGGAAUAUUGGACAAUGGGCGAAAGCCUGAUCCAGCCAUGCCGCGUGUGUGAAGAAGGUCUUCGGAUUGUAAAGCACUUUAAGUUGGGAGGAAGGGCAGUAAGUUAAUACCUUGCUGUUUUGACGUUACCGACAGAAUAAGCACCGGCUAACUCUGUGCCAGCCGCCGCUGUAACAC